GAUGAACGCUGGCGGCGUGCCUAAUACAUGCAAGUCGAGCGAACAGACGAGGAGCUUGCUCCUCGCACGUUAGCGGCGGGCGGGUGAGUAACACGUGGAUAACCUACCUAUAAUACUGGGAUAACUUCGGGAAACCGGAGCUAAUCCGGGAGAAUCUAUUGCACCGCAGGGUGGGAUAGUGAAAUACGGUUUUGCUGGAACGACUAGAUGGUUCUCUGCCGCAUUAGCUAGUUGGUAAGGUAACGGCUUACCAAGGCAACUAGGCGUAGACGACGUGAUAGAGUGAUCGGCCGCACUGGAACUGAGACAGGGUCCAUAGUCCUACGGGAGGCAGCAGUAGGGAAUCUGCCGCAAUGGGCGAAAGCAUGACGGAGCAACGCCGAGUGAGUGAUGAAGGUCUUCGGAGCGUAAAACUGUGUUAUUAGGGAAGAACAAAUGUGUAAGUAACUAUGCACGUCUUGACGGUAACUAAUCAGAAAGCAACGGCUAACUACGUG
rnacentral:rRNA from 1 species